rnacentral:rRNA from 1 species
CUGAGAGGACGACCAGCCACACUGGGACUGAGACACGGCCCAGACUCCUACGGGAGGCAGCAGUGGGGAAUUUUGGACAAUGGGCGCAAGCCUGAUCCAGCAAUGCCGCGUGAGUGAAGAAGGCCUUCGGGUUGUAAAGCUCUUUCAGUUGAGAAGAAAAGAUCGUGACUAAUAGUUGCGAUUCAUGACGGUAUCAACAGAAGAAGCACCGGCUAACUACGUGCCAGCAGCCGCGGUAAUACGUAGGGUGCGAGCGUUAAUCGGAAUUACUGGGCGUAAAGGGUGCGCAGGCGGUUUUGUAAGUCAGAUGUGAAAUCCCCGGGCUUAACCUGGGAAUUGCGUUUGAAACUACAAAGCUAGA